AUUCAGUUAAUGAGUCCUAAAUAGAACGAAACGCGCUUCCUGGAU
rnacentral:hammerhead_ribozyme from 1 species